rnacentral:sRNA from 1 species
AGUUGCUCCGGCGGCGCUCGGGGAGGGAGCCAGCAGCCUGGGGCCCAGGCCCGGGCCACCAUGGCGCUGCCUUCGGGCCCAGCCGCCCUCCGGCACACACUGCUGCUCCUGCCAGCCCUUCUGAGCUCAGGUACACCCCUGUUCAGUCGUUGACCAAGUCCUUCUGGGGUCCAAAGUCCCCUCUCUCCCCUGUCUGCACUUCUGUUUGGGUACCCACUCCAGGCCCCAAGCCCUGGAGUCCCUGUUCCCUUCACCCACCUACCCUAGGUCCAACCAGCCAGUCCCUGGUAAGAGGACUCAGGCGCCCUUUCCCUUGGUCUGCUGCUCCUCUCACUGGGCCAAUUCCGGUCACAGCACAGUACCAGCCCUGCCUGAGCCCUUCCCAGAGCCCCCCUGCUGUGUUCCAGGUUGUGGGGAGUUGGAGCCACAAAUAGAUGGUCAGACCUGGGCUGAGCGGGCCUUCUCUGGAGGCACCAGCACCUUCACAGUCACAGCCCAUCGGGCUCAGCAUGAGCUCAACUGCUCCCUGCAGGACCCCAGCAGUGGCCGAUCAG